GGGUUGUGAGGUUAAGCGACUAAGCGUACACGGUGGAUGCCCUGGCAGUCAGAGGCGAUGAAGGACGUGCUAAUCUGCGAUAAGCGUCGGUAAGGUGAUAUGAACCGUUAUAACCGGCGAUUUCCGAAUGGGGAAACCCAGUGUGAUUCGUCACACUAUCAUUAACUGAAUCCAUAGGUUAAUGAGGCGAACCGGGGGAACUGAAACAUCUAAGUACCCCGAGGAAAAGAAAUCAACCGAGAUUCCCCCAGUAGCGGCGAGCGAACGGGGAGCAGCCCAGAGCCUGAAUCAGUGUGUGUGUUAGUGGAAGCGUCUGGAAAGGCGUGCGAUACAGGGUGACAGCCCCGUACACAAAAAUGCACAUACUGUGAGCUCGAUGAGUAGGGCGGGACACGUGGUAUCCUGUCUGAAUAUGGGGGGACCAUCCUCCAAGGCUAAAUACUCCUGACUGACCGAUAGUGAACCAGUACCGUGAGGGAAAGGCGAAAAGAACCCCGGCGAGGGGAGUGAAAAAGAACCUGAAACCGUGUACGUACAAGCAGUGGGAGCGCGCUUAGGCGUGUGACUGCGUACCUUUUGUAUAAUGGGUCAGCGACUUAUAUUCUGUAGCAAGGUUAACCGAAUAGGGGAGCCGAAGGGAAACCGAGUCUUAACUGGGCGUUAAGUUGCAGGGUAUAGACCCGAAACCCGGUGAUCUAGCCAUGGGCAGGUUGAAGGUUGGGUAACACUAACUGGAGGACCGAACCGACUAAUGUUGAAAAAUUAGCGGAUGACUUGUGGCUGGGGGUGAAAGGCCAAUCAAACCGGGAGAUAGCUGGUUCUCCCCGAAAGCUAUUUAGGUAGCGCCUCGUGAAUUCAUCUCCGGGGGUAGAGCACUGUUUCGGCAAGGGGGUCAUCCCGACUUACCAACCCGAUGCAAACUGCGAAUAC
rnacentral:rRNA from 1 species